UUCUGGAGCAGCCUUCCAAGUGGGCUAAGUCUAUGGGACAGUUUGUUGCCAACUUUGCAGGAAUGUGAAGGCUGGAGCAACAGCAACCCUCUUGGUCCAGCAAGAGGACUGGUCUAGCAACCCUCUAGGUAAUCUUGAGGGUGGAAGGCACACAGUAAGAGGGUGGACCAAGCAAGGAUGGAAGGACCCUGGGUCCCAUGAUUGGAGCUGUCCGGCAGCCACCAGACCAGACUAUCGCCAACCUCUCAAAUUCCUUUAUGCCUAUUCAGGGUGUUGACCACUGCCACGUCGAUGUCAUAGAGCUUCUUCACAGCCUGUUUGAUCUGGUGCUUGUUGGCUUUAACAUCCACAAUGAACACAGUGUGUUGUUGUCGUCUGUCUUCUUCGUGGCCAACUCAGUGGUCAGCGGAAACUUGAUGAUAACACAGUGGCCAAGCUUAUUU
rnacentral:lncRNA from 1 species